GGAACGAGAGUUGUUCAAGCGGGCAGAUAUUUUUCCUGCCACCGAAUACAUUAGCAUGGGAUAAUGGAAUAGGACCCUGACCUCCUAUUUUCAGUUGGUUUUGUUUAUACAGCGAGGUUCAUCAGGGUAAUGAUUAAUAGGGAUAGUUGGGGGCAUUAAUAUUUAAUUGUCAGAGGUGAAAUUCUUGGAUUUAUGAAAGAUUAACUUCUGCGAAAGCGUUUGCCAAGGAUGUUUUCAUUAAUCAAGAACGAAAGUUAGGGGAUCGAAGACGAUCAGAUACCGUCGUAGUCUUAACCAUAAACGAUGCCGACCAGCGAUUAGGAGACGUUGAAUACAAAACACCGCUGUUAGUCCUUUCGGGGAUUAAUAGUUGGUGAAUGACUCCCCUAGAGGCUUUGGGGAGAA
rnacentral:rRNA from 1 species